rnacentral:siRNA from 1 species
UGCCUCAGCAGAGUCGCUAGGA